rnacentral:rRNA from 1 species
AAAAACAUGUCUUUGCGAUAAUUUAUGUAAAGUCUAGCCUGCCCAAUGAUAUAAAAUUCAAUGGCCGCGGUAUCUUGACCGUGCAAAGGUAGCAUAAUAAUUAGUCUUUUAAUUGAAGGCUGGAAUGAAAGGCUGAACAAAAGGACGACUGUCUCUAAGUUAAAUUUUGAACUUGACAUUUAAGUGAAAAGGCUUAAAUACUCUGGGGGGACGAUAAGACCCUAUAAAUCUUUAUAGUUGAGUUGGUCGGGUGGGAGAGUUUAAUCGUUCUCAUCCGGCGGGCUUAAGUAUUUUGUUGGGGCGACAAGAAUAUAAAUUGUAACUGUUCUAUAAAUAUAGUUAAAGAUAUUUAAUUAGGUGAUCCUCCCUUGGAGAUAUUAGUUUAAGUUACUUUAGGGAUAACAGCGUAAUUUUUUUUGAGAGUCCAUAUCGAAAAAAAAGUUUGCGACCUCGAUGUUGAAUUAAAGGCCCUUCGUGGAUGUAGAAACUACGGUAAGGAGGUCUGUUCGACCUUUAAACCUUUACGUGAUC